CCCAUGUUAGUCUCGUCAUUCAUCCAUUCCACCUCGAGGCGAGAUGUUCAUCCACUCAUUCAUGGUGUCUUCAUCUCUGUCAUUAAACCCUUAAACUGA